UACGAAGGACCCAAGCGUUAUCCGGAUUUAUUGGGUUUAAAGGGUGCGUAGGCGGAUUAUUAAGUCAGUGGUGAAAGCCUGCAGCUUAACUGCAGAACUGCCAUUGAUACUGAUGAUCUUGAGUAUGAUUGAGGUGGGCGGAAUGUGUCAUGUAGCGGUGGAAUGCUUAGAUAUGACACAGAACACCGAUUGCGAAGGCAGCUCACUAAGCCAUAACUGACGCUGAUGCACGAAAGCGUGGGGAGCAAACAGG
rnacentral:rRNA from 1 species